AUCGCUAUUAAGCUUUGGACACCGAGAAAUAAUUUACGCAAAGAUACGGAAUACUAGUAUUCAUGACUUACGGACAAUAGUGUACUGCAUUGUGUACAGUACGGUAGCGCUUUCAUACUGUCGCACUGACCUGUGUACUUUCGCUCGGGGCAUUAUGUGUAAGAACUGUUUUCAACAUGGAGUCGUAAACAAGGAAGUGAAAGUGUGUUUUGCAUUUUUAGUUGAAUAUUCACCAUUUUUGUUUCCAGAGUAUGAUUUAUUCUAGUGUAUCCAUUCUAGUAUCAUUUGAAAUGAUGAAUGACUAAUUUCCAAAGUAUCAAUGUAGUUCAAUAAGGAUAAAUGCACAGUCUCGUCAGAACUGGUCCAGACCUAAAAGGCUAAAUACCAGAUGCACACUUUGUUUUCUUGUAUUGUAUUCUUGUUUUGUUAAUUGAUAUUUUUUCUAUACAAAUUUGAAUAAACAUUUGAUAAUUAGCACGAGUUUAUAUGAUAUCGGAAUAGUAAAAAUCAUAUUCAACAAAGAUUUCUCAGCUUGCUUUGAAAUUUAAAAAAUCUCUGAAUUUAUUUAUUUCUUGAUGAGGACAGUCGGUGACAGGUAGCUCAAUUGGUUAGAGCACCCCAGACAUCGAAAUACGAUGUCAUGGGGAGGUCUCAGGUUCGAAUCCUGACCUGGCACUUGUCCAACAUAUAACCUCCAAUUAUGUCAAUUUACACAAAUUUUAACACAUAAAACUUCAAUUCUACAUGUACAUUUGAUCUUAUAAUAUUUUUCAUAACACAGCACAUUUAGAAAGUGUUUCGAGCAUUUUGCCAUGGAAAACUUAUGACAUUGAUUUUUUGAUUUAUUGUUAUAAAUUUUGUUGCUGAGCAUAGUAUCCUAUUUACUUACUUAGAUAUAAUGUUACUGUUUAGAUACAUGAAACAGUAGGUGUAUACUUAGGUAACAUUUAGAUUUUUUCAACUGAGAAACAGGCAUGUCCCAUGCUUUUAAACUGCAGGUCAAUAGGCAAUACAAACUGGAACAUGUUUGUUUUAUUUGUACAAACAUUUCUGUUGUAAUUUUAAGAGUAAUCAAACUCAUUAGUCUACUUUAGAUAAAUAAUGACCAAGAUACUAGCAUCAGUAUAUUACAUUUUUGUAAAGGUCAUUGUACAUAAUCCUUGUAUACUUCUCAAUCUGCUGCAUGAGCUGUCAAAAAAUUGUAGUGAUAAUAGAAAUAAUGGAAUCUUUUGAAACUAAGUGACAUUGUUAUUUUUAUAUCAAAAUAAAUUAUGAAUAAAUUCAAUUUCGGAAGAAAGGGACUUAAUUUAAACAUAUUGCUUUGUGUUUUAAAUGGUAUGGUUGACAUAAUAUUUACUGAAAGUUUUGGCUGGAAGUUGUAAAAAAGAUGAAGAGAAUUUUUGGUCAAAUAUUGGAAAUUGAACAUACUUUCUGAGAGAAGAAAGAACCAAAUAUUUUACAAUUAGCCUGGGAAAUAGAAUUCUUGUGUGAAAGACUGUCAAACUAAAACAUUGAUCAGAAUCUAGAAACAUUUUAAACAUUUUUUAUUGACUGUUUAUAUAUACACAUCGUUAACAUUCUAGUUAUUAUCUUCAUUUAAGUUAUGACUGUAUUACCCUUUUACUUCUUACUGAUCUGAUAAAAUAUUUUAAUGUGUGUACCAGUUAUAAUAUUGAUAAUCAUUAGUAAUAUUACACGACUUCUUACAUAAAUAUCUGGUCCAUAGUUUGUGUUUUAUGUCAUGUAUAAUAUUUGAGAAUAAUAGUGACUAUUAAUGUCUAAAGUUGUGUAAUAUACCAUUUAUUGAAUGGCAUGCCGGUCAGUAUUCAUAACUUUGCCUUAUUGUUACUAUUGACCAGCAAAUACUUCAAUCAAUAACUAUAUUGUACUGAAGUUGUCUGUGCUAAGGAUUGUAUAUGUUUACCUGAAGUGUAUUUGUUUGAUAUGUUACCCAUGUUUAGUAGACCUGUUAAUUAAUAAAAAAAAUACACUGCAAAAUAUAGUAUGUAUGAACUUUAAUAUAUGUACAAAUAUAACUGUUAUUUACUUGCUUUUCACUCAUGAUAGUGAUGUUGAAAACUGAGAUCCUGUCAGUUUUACAUGGUCCAUGACAAGAAGUACUUUUUAGCAUUUCCAAUUAGGAGUAGCAGAGAAAUAACUCUCUCUUUUUAAUGUGUUAACAUAUGUCAUAUUUUCAUCCUGCUUUGUUUUAACUAUGUCUUAAAUAUCUUAAUGUAUAAUCUUAACUUAAUAUGUUUUAGUUACAGGUUUUUUGUUUUUUUAAUUGCUUUAUUGUCUUUUGUUUUAUAGUCGGAAAAUAGCAUAAUGCUAAUGUUAUAUGUUUAUAAGACCGACUCAAAAUAAAGUUUCUUGUAUCUUGUA